GGCCUCUUUCCCAUGGGGCUGUAGGGGGUCCCUUUUCUCCGCAGCCAGGAUUGGAGGCCAAAAUCAGCCCCUGAGGAUCAUCAUCAGGGCCACCAUGAGCUGGGCAGCCUUGUUUUCUGACCUCAGACAUGU